rnacentral:rRNA from 1 species
UACGUAGGUCUCGAGCGUUAUCCGGAAUUACUGGGCGUAAAGCGUCUGUAGCCGGGUACAUAAGUCUGUCUUUAAAUACUCUGAUUCAAUCGGAGAAAGGGGAUAGAUACUGUAUACCUAGAGGAUUUUAGAGGUUAGUGGAAUUUCCGGUGGAGCGGUGAAAUGUGUUGAUAUCGGAAGGAAUGCCUAAAGCGAAAGCAGCUAACUAUAAAAUAUCUGACGGUCAGAGACGAAAGUUUGGGUAGCGAACGGG